GGAGUGCCCGAAAGGGAACCAUUACACAGGUGCUGCAUGGCUGUCGUCAGCUCGUGUCGUGAGAUGUUGGGUUAAGUCCCGCAACGAGCGCAACCCUUGUCAUUAGUUGCUACGAAAGAGCACUCUAAUGAGACUGCCGGUGACAAACCGGAGGAAGGUGGGGAUGACGUCAAGUCCUCAUGGCCCUUAUGGGUAGGGCUUCACACGUCAUACAAUGGUACAUACAGAGCGCCGCCAACCCGCGAGGGGGAGCUAAUCGCAGAAAGUGUAUCGUAGUCCGGAUUGUAGUCUGCAACUCGACUGCAUGAAGUUGGAAUCGCUAGUAAUCGCGGAUCAGCAUGUCGCGGUGAAUACGUUCCCGGGUCUUGUACACACCGCCCGUCACACCAUGGGAGCGGGUUUUACCAGAAGUAGGUAGCUUAACCGCAAGGAGGGCGCUUACCACGGUAGGAUUCGUGACUGGGGUGAAGUCGUAACAAGGUAGCCGUAUCGGAAGGUGCGGCUGGAUCACCUCCUUUCUAG
rnacentral:rRNA from 1 species